rnacentral:rRNA from 1 species
UACGGAGGGGGCUAGCGUUGUUCGGAAUUACUGGGCGUAAAGCGCGCGUAGGCGGCUUUGUAAGUUAGAGGUGAAAGCCCGGAGCUUAACUCCGGAACUGCCUUUAAGACUGCAUCGCUAGAAUCGUGGAGAGGUGAGUGGAAUUCCGAGUGUAGAGGUGAAAUUCGUAGAUAUUCGGAAGAACACCAGUGGCGAAGGCGACUCACUGGACACGUAUUGACGCUGAAGUGCGAAAGCGUGGGGAGCAAACAGG